AUUGAACGCUGGCGGCAGGCCUAACACAUGCAAGUCGAGCGAGCGGCGGACGGGUGAGUAAUGUCUGGGAAACUGCCUGAUGGAGGGGGAUAACUACUGGAAACGGUAGCUAAUACCGCAUACCAUCAGAUGUGCCCAGAUGGGAUUAGCUAGUAGGUGGGGUAAAGGCUCACCUAGGCGACGAUCCCUAGCUGGUCUGAGAGGAUGAUCAGCCACACUGGAACUGAGACACGGUCCAGACUCCUACGGGAGGCAGCAGUGGGGAAUAUUGCACAAUGGGCGCAAGCCUGAUGCAGCCAUGCCGCGUGUGUGAAGAAGGCCUUAGGGUUGUAAAGCACUUUCAGCGGGGAGGCGUUACCCGCAGAAGAAGCACCGGCUAACUCCGUGCCAGCAGCCGCGGUAAUUC
rnacentral:rRNA from 1 species